rfam:Stegodyphus mimosarum contig5130, whole genome shotgun sequence.
GUCUUCGUGGUGUAGUGGUCAGCACGCUCGACGCGUAAUCGAGAAGUCCGUGGUUCAAUUCCCGGCGGAAGGCG